AGCUUUGCGCAGUGGCAGUGUUAUAGGCAAUGAGGUUUAUCCGAGGCGCGAUUAUUGCUAAUUGAAAACUUUUCCCAAUACCCUGCCAUGACGAUUGGAAAUAUAGUUGCAUUGCAUUUUUGACAUCUUAUAGAGA
rnacentral:snRNA from 1 species